AGAGUUUGAUCAUGGCUCAGGGUGAACGCUGGCGGCGUGGAUAAGGCAUGCAAGUCGAACGGUCCCGCAAAGCUCGCAAGAGCGACGUGGGAUAGUGGCAAACGAGUUAGUAACACGUAGGUAACUACCCAUUACUCGGGCAUAACUAGCCGAAAGGUUAGCUAAUUCCCGAUGGUCUCGCAAGAGUAAAGCUCCGGCGGUAAUGGAAGUACCUGCGGCCUAUCAGCUUGUUGGUGAGGUAACGGCUCACCAAGGCUCUGACGGGUAGGGGACGUGAGAGCGUGAUCCCCAACGAUGGAACUGCGACACGGUCCAUACUCCUACGGGAGGCAGCAGUCGAGAAUAUUGGACAAUGGGGGAAACCCUGAUCCAGCGACGCCGCGUGCGGGACGAAGGCCUUCGGGUCGUAAACCGCUUUUAUAGAGGAAGAAUCCCCCACCACUUUUUGUGAAUCUAGAAAAACAAUAGGUAUUUCGUGAAAAGUGGUGGGGGAUGACGGUACUCUAUGAAUAAGGGGGUGCUAAUUCUGUGCCAGCAGCCGCGGUAAAACAGAACCCUCAAGCGUUACCCGGAUUUAUUGGGCGUAAAGCGUCUGUAGCCGGUUUGGAAAGUCUAAGGUUAAAUACCAAGAGCUCAACUUUUGGAAUGCUUUAGAAACUUCUAGACUAGAGGGCAUUAGGGGUUACUGGAACUCUUGGAGGAGCGGUGAAAUGCGUUGAUCUCAAGAGGAACACCAAAAGCGAAGGCAUGUAACUGGGGUGACCCUGACGGUGAGAGACGAAAGCGUGGGGAGCAAAAAGGAUUAGAUACCCUUGUAGUCCACGCUGUAAACGAUGGAUACUAGCUAUGUGAAGUGUCGACCCUUCACGUGGCGAAGCUAACGCGUUAAGUAUCCCGCCUGGGAAGUACGGCCGCAAGGCUAAAACUCAAAGGAAUAGACGGGGACCCACACAAGCGGUGGAUCAUGCGGCUUAAUUCGAUAGCAACCGAGGAACCUUACCAGGGCUGGAAACAUUAGUGAACCUUCUAUGAAAGUGGAAGCUAGCGCAAGCACACUAAUUCAGGUGGUGCACGGCUGUCGUCAGCAUGUACCUUGAGGCGCUCCGUUAAAUCGGGCAACAUGCGCAACCCUUACCCUGUGUUUUACAUGUCACGGGGAACUGCCUGAGACAAUCAGGAGGAAGGCGAGGAUGACGCCAAGUCAGCGUGUCCCUUUGAUGUCCUGGGCCGCACGCAUGAUACAAUGGGAUAGACAGCGGGUCGCAAAGCAGCAAUGCGGAGCUAAUCCCUUAAACUAUCUCUCAGUUCGGAUCGAGGUCUGAAACCCGACCUCGUGAAGCCGGAAUCGCUAGUAAUCGCGUAUCAGCUAAGGCGCGAUGAAUAUGUUCCUGGGUCUUGUACACACCGCCCGUC
rnacentral:rRNA from 1 species